rnacentral:rRNA from 1 species
GGCGGCGUGACUUAACACAUGCAAGUCGAACGGAGGAUUUAGUUCGGUAAAUCCUUAGUGGCGAACGGGUGAGUAACGCGUGGGCAAUCUGCCCUUCAGAUGGGGACAACAUCCCGAAAGGGUGCUAAUACCGAAUACGAUCGUAUCCCCGCAUGGGAUUGUGAUGAAAAGAUGGCCUCUAUUUAUAAGCUAUCGCUGAAGGAUGAGCCUGCGUCUGAUUAGCUAGUUGGUGGGGUAACGGCCUACCAAGGCGAUGAUCAGUAGCCGGUCUGAGAGGAUGAACGGCCACAUUGGGACUGAGACACGGCCCAAACUCCUACGGGAGGCAGCAGGUGGGGAAUAUUCCGCAAUGGACGAAAGUCUGACGGAGCAACGCCGCGUGAGUGAUUAGUAAGGUUUUCGGACUGUAAAGCUCUGUUGUUUAGGACGAAAGUGCCUGUUGCGAACAGUUACAGGUAUUGACGGUACUGAACGAGGAAGCCACGGCUAACUACGUGCCAGCAGCUGC